ACUACGGGUGGCUGCAGUGAGGAAUAUUGGUCAAUGGGCGGAAGCCUGAACCAGCCAAGUAGCGUGCAGGAUGACGGCCCUACGGGUUGUAAACUGCUUUUAUACGGGAAUAACGCGCCUUACGUGUAGGGCUUUGCAUGUACCGUAUGAAUAAGGACCGGCUAAUUCCGUUCCAGCAGCCGCGGUAAUACGGAAGGUCCGGUCGUUAUCCGGAUUUAAUGGGUUUAAAGGGAGCGUCGGCCGCAUGUCAAGCGUGCUGUGAAAUGUCCGGGCUCAACCCGGGCCUUGCAGCGCGAACUGGCGUGCUUGAGUCCGCGGAAAGCAGGCGGAAUUCGUCGUGUAGCGGUGAAAUGCUUAGAUAUGACGAAGAACCCCGAUUGCGAAGGCAGCUUGCUGCAGCGGAACUGACGCUGAUGCUCGAAAGCGCGGGUAUCGAACAGGAUUAGAUACCCCUGUAGUC
rnacentral:rRNA from 1 species